rnacentral:rRNA from 1 species
GUAGUCCACGCUGUAAACGAUGGGUGCUAGCUGUUUGGGGGUUCCCCUCAAGUAGCGCAGCUAACGCGUUAAGCACCCCGCCUGGGGAGUACGGUCGCAAGAUUAAAACUCAAAGAAAUUGACGGGGACCCGCACAAGCGGUGGAACAUGUGGUUUAAUUCGAGGCAACGCGAAGAACCUUACCAGGUCUUGACAUGCCCUCUUUAGAGAACAGAAAUGUUUUCUUUCACUUCGGGUGGGAGGUGCACAGGUGCUGCAUGGCUGUCGUCAGCUCGUGUCGUGAGAUGUUGGGUUAAGUCCCGCAACGAGCGCAACCCUCAUUCUCUGUUGCCAUCAGGUAAGGCUGGGCACUCUGAGAAAACUGCCGGUGAUAAGCCGGA